UUGUUGGUAAGGUAAAAGCUUACCAAGGCUUCGAUCAGUAGCUGGUCUGAGAGGACGACCAGCCACACUGGGACUGAGACACGGCCCAGACUCCUACGGGAGGCAGCAGUGGGGAAUUUUGGACAAUGGGGGCAACCCUGAUCCAGCCAUGCCGCGUGAGUGAAGAAGGCCUUCGGGUUGUAAAGCUCUUUCAGCCGGAACGAAACGGUUACGGUUAAUACCCGUGACUACUGACGGUACCGGAAGAAGAAGCACCGGCUAACUACGUGCCAGCAGCCGCGGUAAUACGUAGGGUGCGAGCGUUAAUCGGAAUUACUGGGCGUAAAGCGUGCGCAGGUGGUUUUGUAAGUCAGAUGUGAAAGCCCCGGGCUCAACCUGGGAACUGCGUUUGAAACUACAAGACUAGAGUGUGGCAGAGGGGGGUGGAAUUCCGCGUGUAGCAGUGAAAUGCGUAGAGAUGUGGAGGAACACCGAUGGCGAAGGCAGCCCCCUGGGUCAACACUGACGCUCAGGCACGAAAGCAUGGGGAGCAAACAGGAUUAGAUACCCUGGUAGUCCAUGCCCUAAACGAUGUCAACUAGUUGUCGGGCCUUUACGGGCUUGGUAACGUAGCUAACGCGUGAAGUUGACCGCCUGGGGAGUACGAUCGCAAGAUUAAAACUCAAAUGAAUUGACGGGGACCCGCACAAGCGGUGGAUUAUGUGGAUUAAUUCGAUGCAACGCGAAAAACCUUACCUACCCUUGACAUGUAUCGAAGCCCGCAGAAAAGCGGGAGUGCCCGAAAGGGAACGAUAACACAGGUGCUGCAUGGCUGUCGUCAGCUCGUGUCGUGAGAUGUUGGGUUAAGUCCCGCAACGAGCGCAACCCUUGUCAUUAAUUGCCAUCAUUUAGUUGGGCACUUUAAUGAGACUGCCGG
rnacentral:rRNA from 1 species